rnacentral:rRNA from 1 species
AUUGAACGCUGGCGGAAUGCUUUACACAUGCAAGUCGAACGGCAGCACGGACUUCGGUCUGGUGGCGAGUGGCGAACGGGUGAGUAAUGUAUCGGAACGUGCCCAGUCGUGGGGGAUAACGUAGUGAAAAUUACGCUAAUACCGCAUACGAUCUAUGGAUGAAAGCGGGGGAUCGCAAGACCUCGCGCGAUUGGAGCGGCCGAUAUCAGAUUAGGUAGUUGGUGGGGUAAAGGCCCAGCAAGCCAACGAUCUGUAGCUGGUCUGAGAGGACGACCAGCCACACUGGAACUGAGACAAGGUCCAGACUCCUACGGGAGGCAGCAGUGGGGAAUUUUGGACAAUGGGCGAAAGCCUGAUCCAGCCAUUCCGCGUGCAGGAUGAAGGCCCUCGGGUUGUAAACUGCUUUUGUACAGAACGAAAAGGUUUCUACUAAUACUAGGAGCUCAUGACGGUACUGUAAGAAUAAGCACCGGCUAACUACGUGCCAGCAGCCGCGGUAA